rnacentral:lncRNA from 1 species
GUUUUGAUAAGGAAUCAACCCAAACGGUUAAUUAAUCAUCCCAACACCAUUUUAAAAGUAAACCAUUCCUUUCUUGGUUGAUUUGAAAUGCUACCUUUACCAAACAAAUUGUUCAUGCUUUGUAUCUGAUUUAGGCUUUUUACUCAGCUUCUGACGGUGUUACUGGGAAGAGUGAGUUAGUCAUCCAGGAAAUGACUUGUUCUGGAGUAUUGCUGCACAGAUAAUGAACGGUCUGGUUAAAGCGAUGUAUUGAAACAACCAAUUUGGAAACUAUCCCUCGCGUGCACGGACGGAUCCGAGAAGUUCCUACCCACCCCAUCGCUUCAUUCUAUCUGGGGAUUGGGUUUGUGAGAUCUCUCGGUAAGGCGCCGAAAUGCUCCUCGUUAGCUUG